CCUACGGGCGGCAGCAGUGAGGAAUAUUGGUCAAUGGACGAGAGUCUGAACCAGCCAAGUAGCGUGAAGGAUGACUGCCCUAUGGGUUGUAAACUUCUUUUAUAUGGGAAUAAAAUGUUCCACGUGUGGGAUUUUGUAUGUACCAUAUGAAUAAGGAUCGGCUAACUCCGUGCCAGCAGCCGCGGUAAUACGGAGGAUCCGAGCGUUAUCCGGAUUUAUUGGGUUUAAAGGGAGCGUAGGUGGAUUGUUAAGUCAGUUGUGAAAGUUUGCGGCUCAACCGUAAAAUUACAGUUGAAACUGGCAGUCUUGAGUACAGUAGAGGUGGGCGGAAUUCGUGGUGUAGCGGUGAAAUGCUUAGAUAUCACGAAGAACUCCGAUUGCGAAGGCAGUUCACUGGACUGCAACUGACACUGAGGCUCGAAAGUGUGGGUAUCAAACAGGAUUAGAUACCCUAGUAGUC
rnacentral:rRNA from 1 species